rnacentral:rRNA from 1 species
AACGUAGGGGGCUAGCGUUGCUCGGAAUUACUGGGCGUAAAGGGUCCGUAGGCGGUGUGACAAGUCGGUAGUGAAAUCUCUGGGCUUAACUCAGAGGCUGCUGCCGAAACUGUUGUGCUUGAGUGUGAGAGAGGCGAGUGGAAUUACGGGUGUAGCGGUGAAAUGCGUAGAUAUCCGUAGGAACAUCCGAGGCGAAAGCGGCUCGCUGGAUCACAACUGACGCUGAGGGACGAAAGCUAGGGGAGCAAACAGG